rnacentral:lncRNA from 1 species
AGAGAAGAGUGGAGGCUGAGAAGUCAGCAAGGGCACAGUCACAGGUCCGUGAGAGGACUGGGUUUUUCUGUAAGAAUGGCAAGUCAUCCAGCUGGAAGGCAAUGAAAGGCAAAGAUUGACCAGACCAAGCCCUGAGACACAGUGUUGAGAGCCAAGACAUAAAGUUGUGAAGAUUCAGACCCAGAGCCCAGCAGGGUACAGGCUGGAGGGGUGAUGUGAGUGAUCAGUAACACCAUGAAGACUCUGCUCCUGGGUCAGGAAUGCUUUUUUGUCCCUGUUUUGGAUUUUCCACCAUGAACAGCCAAUGCAGGAAGAAAUCUAAAGGUGAAGGAAAGGCAGCGUUCAGCACUGAGCAAGUCCAUGUUGGAGAAAGUUCACAGGGAAUUGGAAAUCCUUGUCUUCGUGGUUCCUGGCUCAGCAGGACCCCUGUGGGGCCUCUCCCUCUCUUGGGAAAGAGACUGCUCUAGAAGGUUUACUACACCAGUGAGGAGAAGAUGAGCGCAAGGGGGAUUGGCUGGCUGAGGGCGAAAUCAAGACUGGAGCCAAGUGCGCUGAGCUCUCACAUGAGGUCCUUUGCUCCUGUUCCCUGGAGGC